GUUUGAAAUGACACACUCAUUUAACCAACCAACAUAAAGAUAUUGUAUUUGAACAAUUUGGAGAUUAAAAAAAAUAUAUCAAAAAAAAAAGGAACACUCAAAAAGAUGGCCCUAAUACAGGUUGCAUUACUGUUAAUAUCUGCAGUUUGUGGAGGUCAAAGUUUAACAUGCCUUCAAUGUGACGGAGUUCCGCAGCCUAGAUUUUGUAGAAGAGUUGUAGAUUGCUACGACGGCGAGGUAGUGAGUUUAAAAAUAGUCUUUUGUAAAAAUAAAAUAGUUUUGGUCAUCUAUCGGUUACAAAAAAAUAAGCGACAGAAAUGAAGUUCAUAGUGGCAAAUAAUUACUUUCAUUUUAUCCAAUAUUUGAAGAGCUGAGCAAACAAAUUUUAUUUUUUAUUAUAAACAAUUUAAAUUACAUGUGUAGAAGUUUAUAUCAUAUGAAAACCUCAUUAUAUACACAUUUAUAUAAUAAUUAUGAAGUUUGCUAUUGAGUGAUAUUUAAACAAGAUAAUUAAUAUUAAGAUAUCUUAUGAUAUCUUAAGAUAAUAUCGAUUUAUUAAUUCAAUUCCGAGUACAUUUUUCUCAUAUACAUAUUACAUAUUUUCCGUUUUAAGCGCCCUAGUUGCUCUAUGUAAGAUGCCUAUAUAUAUAUCAAAUAUUAUUUUUAGGAUUUUGCACGUCAGUGGAACUCCUUUAACACCAUUAACACUAUAUAAGAUGUUUUCUCAGCAAGAUUGUUUUCUUAGUUGUCAAU